rnacentral:rRNA from 1 species
CCCUUAGAUGUUCUGGGCCGCACGCGCGCUACACUGACUCAUGCAACAAGUUUUGUCCUUGGCUGAUAGGCCUGGGUAAUCUUUGAACGUGAAUCGUGAUGGGGAUAGAUGAUUGCAAUUAUUCAUCUUCAACGAGGAAUUCCUAGUAAACGCAAGUCAUCAGCUUGCAUUGAUUACGUCCCUGCCCUUUGUACACACCGCCCGUCGCACCUACCGAUUGAAUGGUCCGGUGAAAUCUUCGGAUCUGAGAGAUGUCUGAUUAAUUUCGGACGCCUUUUGGAAAAGUUGUUUAAACCUUACCAUUUAGAGGAAGGUGAAGUCGUAACA